AAUUGUUACAGCUCUUUUAGAAUUUAUGUAGCAGGUUUUCUGGUUUUCACCGGAAACCAAC
rnacentral:snRNA from 1 species